AUGUUUCAUCAAUUGAGUCACUGGCCAUGUUCUUAUGGAUUGUUGGAGGCCCUCAAUCAUUUGCUCAAGCCGAGAACCGUUUUGUACGGUUACUUUGGAAAGUUCCUACUUUUAGCCAUGAGCAUGAAAAAAUUGAAGGAAGAGCAUUUCUGGCCUCAUUUCAAAGGUUCUAUUGGUGCCAUAGAUGGAUCACAUGUGCCAGUUUCAGUGCCUGCAGUUGAUGCGGUUAACCAUAGAUGCCGGCAUGGUUUUACAUCUCAAAAUGUGCUUGCAGUAUGUGACUUUGACAUGAGGUUUACCUUUGUGGUUGUGGGUUGGCCGGGCUGUGCACAUGAUACAAGGGUCUUGAAUCACGCAUUAGCACACUUCCCUUCAUUUCCUAUACCUCCCAAAGGGAAAUACUACCUUGUGGACUCUGGGUAUCCAAACCGAACGGGUUACCUUGCUCCUUUUAAGGGGAGUACAUACCAUUUGCCGUAA
rnacentral:rRNA from 1 species